rnacentral:rRNA from 1 species
UACGUAGGGUGCAGGCGUUAAUCGGAAUUACUGGGCGUAAAGCGUGCGCAGGCGGUCUUUUAAGUCAGAUGUGAAAUCCCCGGGCUUAACCUGGGAACUGCGUUUGAAACUGGAAGGCUUGAGUGUGGCAGAGGGGGGUGGAAUUCCACGUGUAGCAGUGAAAUGCGCAGAUAUCAGGAGGAACACCGAUGGCGAAGGCAGCUCGCUGGGACGGUACUGACGCUGAGGCGCGAAAGCGUGGGGAGCAAACAGG